GUCACCCUCCUCCUCCCACCUCGCCGCCGGCCCUCCCCUCCCCUCCUCCCACAUCACAGCACCGGCGGCUACCGGAUCCGCCAUAUCCCCCACCCACCCAUCCCUCUCACAUCCCAUCUCCUCUCUUGACGUAGCUCCUCGUUGCGCCACCUCCGGCGGCUGAUUCAGGCGACGUCCAGCGAAUCCCGCCAUCGCGAAGCACAGCCCGAGGUCCCCUUACACAGCGGUGCGCUCCCAUGCGGCUUGAUCCGGCACUCUCGGCCGCCAAAGCUCACCCGUGACCUUCCCCUGAUGGCUAGGGUUUCGGGCGCCGGCUCCGGUGCCGGUGGCCAUGUCGUCGUCCUCUCGCCGGUGGAGGUAGUAGCUUGCUAAUGGUGGCUUUCACGUCCAGCUCAAAUACUAGAGGAUGUGGACCUGUUGGGGGAAGCACGUACACCUUUGUUUUAGUGGGCAGGCACUAUCGAGAUUGAGGCAAUCAUCAUAGACGGCUGGAGUUGCGAGUAGAUUUGUCCAAGAUACGACAGUGUUCGUAGUCAUGGUUCUGGUAACUGGCCACAAUCUCCGUUAUAUCUUAACUGUUUCUGAAGAUGGGAAUGCAAGUAAUGUUCUCCUUAGAUGCUCUUGCCUUUUUGAUUCGUACAUUGCGGAACUGACCAUUGAUUUCUCACCACUUUGAUUCAUAAAUUGCUGAAUUUCCCAUUAUGUCGAUUGCACUGUUUCAUAUGAGCAGUGUCUAUUGUGCUUUUAACCCGUCAACUAAGUAAGUACUAUGUUAUUAGUGGCUUGCUUUUAACCCACAAUCACAUCUGUUUAUUUUUCUUCGAGUCUGUUUAUGUUUGUUUUGUGACCUGAAGUAGUAUAUUUAGUUGUAAGGGAAUACUUUCAGGUUACAAAUUUUCUUUGUAAUAGUCGUCAUCUAGCCGGACAACCAAUGUUUCGGAAGUAAUGACCCUUUGUAAGAAGUAAUAUUUCUUAUUUGCUAGGCAACCCGUCACUAUUUACAUCAUGUCAAUGUAUUGUGUAUUAACAGUUCAUUUUGUUAUUUUCUUUGUAGAUUUAAAAGAUAUAUGGACGCUUAUAUGGGUGCGUGGCAAGUAUACUGCAAUGAUGAUUAUGAUGUUCUGGUUCACGAUGAUGACGAUGAUGGAUGUUUUAAGGUUUAGUUAUGAUGGCUAAGUUGUAGGGAUGCUAUUCCUGUUGGAUGAUGUUCCUUGGUUAAGUUUUAGUGAAGUUGUAGGGAUGUUGAUGGAUGCUUUCACAUUUGGAAGUUAUUCCUCCUGCAAUAUUAACAAUUGU